rnacentral:rRNA from 1 species
UACGUAGGGGGCGAGCGUUGUCCGGAUUUAUUGGGCGUAAAGAGCGUGUAGGCGGCCAGGUAGGUCUGCUGUGAAAACUCGAGGCUCAACCUCGAGACGUCGGCGGAAACCAUCUGGCUAGAGUCCGGAAGAGGAGAGUGGAAUUCCUGGUGUAGCGGUGAAAUGCGCAGAUAUCAGGAAGAACACCCGUGGCGAAGGCGGCUCUCUGGUACGUGACUGACGCUGAGACGCGAAAGCGUGGGGAGCAAAAGGG